AUUUGCAUUACAGGGCAACUUCUCUAUUGGCAGGUAGCCACUGUGCAUCUUUCUUAGUGUGCAAUCUGCCAAAGGAGAUUUGCCCAGCGAUUCUCCU
rnacentral:pre_miRNA from 2 species